rnacentral:rRNA from 1 species
GACGAACGCUGGCGGCGCGCUUAACACAUGCAAGUCGAACGAAGAGCGAUGGAAGCUUGCUUCUAUCAAUCUUAGUGGCGAACGGGUGAGUAACGCGUAAUCAACCUGCCCUUCAGAGGGGGACAACAGUUGGAAACGACUGCUAAUACCGCAUACGAUCUAAUCUCGGCAUCGAGGAUAGAUGAAAGGUGGCCUCUACAUGUAAGCUAUCACUGAAGGAGGGGAUUGCGUCUGAUUAGCUAGUUGGAGGGGUAACGGCCCACCAAGGCGAUGAUCAGUAGCCGGUCUGAGAGGAUGAACGGCCACAUUGGGACUGAGACACGGCCCAGACUCCUACGGGAGGCAGCAGUGGGGAAUCUUCCGCAAUGGACGAAAGUCUGACGGAGCAACGCCGCGUGAGUGAUGACGGCCUUCGGGUUGUAAAGCUCUGUUAAUCGGGACGAAAGGCCUUCUUGCGAAUAGUGAGAAGGAUUGACGGUACCGGAAGAGAAAGCCACGGCUAACUACGUG